rnacentral:rRNA from 1 species
GACGAACGCUGGCGGCGUGCUUAACACAUGCAAGUCGAACGGUAAUGCCCUGCUUUUGUGGGGUGUUCGAGUGGCGAACGUGUGUGUAACACGUGAGUAACCUGCCCUUGACUUUGGUAUAACUUCAGGAAACUGGGUCUAAUACCGGAUAGGAUCUCCUGCUGCAUGGUGGGGGUUGGAAAGUUUCGGCGGUUGGGGAUGGACUCGCGGCUUAUCAGCUUGUUGGUGGGGUAGUGGCUUACCAAGGCUUUGACGGGUAGCCGGCCUGAGAGGGUGACCGGCAAAAUUGGGACUGAGAAACGGCCAGGACUCCUACGGGAGGAAGCAGUGGGGAAUAUUGAACAAUGGGCGGAGGCCUGAUGCAGCAACGCCGCGUGCGGGAUGACGGCCUUCGGGUUGUAAACCGCUUUCGCCUGUGACGAAGCGUGAGUGACGGUAAUGGGUAAAGAAGCACCGGCUAACUACGUG